UACAGAGGUCCCAAGCGUUGUUCGGAUUCAUUGGGCGUAAAGGGUGCGUAGGCGGCGCGGUAAGUCGGGUGUGAAAUCUCGGAGCUUAACUCCGAAACUGCAUUCGAUACUGCCGUGCUUGAGGACUGGAGAGGAGACUGGAAUUUACGGUGUAGCGGUGAAAUGCGUAGAUAUCGUAAGGAAGACCAGUGGCGAAGGCGGGUCUCUGGACAGUUCCUGACGCUGAGGCACGAAGGUCAGGGGAGCAAAUGGG
rnacentral:rRNA from 1 species